rnacentral:rRNA from 1 species
GAAGGGUGCAAGCGCUACUCGGAAUUACUGGGCGUAAAGCGUGCGUAGGUGGUGAGUUAAGUCUGUCGUGAAAGCCCCGGGCUCAACCUGGGAAUGGCGAUGGAUACUGGCUCGCUAGAGUGCGGUAGAGGGUGGUGGAAUUCCCGGUGUAGCAGUGAAAUGCGUAGAGAUCGGGAGGAACAUCAGUUGCGAAGGCGGCCACCUGGACCAGCACUGACACUGAGGCACGAAAGCGUGGGGAGCAAACAGGAUUAGAUACCCUGGUAGUCCACGCCCUAAACGAUGCGAACUGGACGUUGGGAGCAACUAGGCUCUCAGUGUCGAAGCUAACGCGUUAAGUUCGCCGCCUGGGGAGUACGGUCGCAAGACUG